rnacentral:lncRNA from 1 species
UCGCAAAUACACAUGGGAGAGCUCAGUGAUAAUAACUCAAAAAGGCGGUUAGAACUUGGGCUUAUUAGCACCCUAAUGAGAGAGCAAUGUAUUUGUAGAGAAGUGGAAAGACAAAGGAAGGGGACCUUGAGCUUCUGUGGAUAACAAGUUGUGGGAAGGUAGAUAUAUGGCAGAAGCUGACAGAUAAGGUUGAUUUGGCGUGCUUGUGAUGUUGAUUUUUCUGGUGCCACCUCUGGGCUGGUAAGAGCCAUCCUGCCCUUCUGGUAGAUGGGGACAGGGCAGAGAGUUUGUCCUGUGUCUACUUGGUCUCAGUUGUCUUCAGCUCAAAAUAAUCUUUAUGUCAGAGUGGCAUAUUUUGGGAUGGUAUACUCUAAGCCCCUUCAGCUGUGAAUUCAAAACAACUCUAAAAAGUCAAUUAAAAAUUAUAUUCCUAUAACAUGGCCCUUGCUGGUGGGGCUCAGGACACACCACCCCAAAAUAUGACAAUACAAAACCAGAUAUGUGAACACAAAAUAUACUUCUUAGGCAAAUUUUGAUCUUGUUAUUCUAAGAAAUUGCAGACACAGGAGUAGCUCUGAAAAGCUGCCCUUUUGUAAAAGAAAUUUAUAACUAUAAAAAAAAUCUACAUUAGUGAAUUAUCUGUAUCAGGAAGAGGGCUGGUUCCAGACAACUUCUAUAACCCCAGAGACUUUUCUCUGCAGAACAAGACACCUUUUAUUCACCAGACAUUGCCUCCCCUCACCCUCCCAGAACUUGUGCCCAUCCUCAGCAAGCCCCAAGCCCCUGUUCCUUUCUGUAACUCAGGACACUAUCUAAGCUUCAUUCAUCUGGCCCUUCUCCUCAUCCAUAUUUUGUGGGACUCCUGUGCAUAUAGACGUAAUUAAAGUUUUUUAUUCUCCUAUUAGCCCGUCUUAUGUCAAUUUAAUUCCUAGCCCAGCCAAAGAACCUAGAAGGGGAAGCCAUUUUUCCCUCCACUACCUGCUUUUCAAGAUCACAGUUUAUUGGAACCACUUCAGAGUUAACCCCCUGUAAAUACUUGUCAGUCCUCAUCUUUUCAAUGUUUUCACCUGACAUUCACUCUUUAUUUCACUCUUAGGUCUCCCAGCAGGUUGCUCAAGAAACUCUCCCUUGCUGUGGACACUGCUGACUUCUGUAAAAUACAUUUACAGGAGGCCAUUAGUUUGGACUGAGCUUCUGCACUAGGCCCAACAGACUGAGACGGAGCAUGGACCCCUAUUAGAGGCCUGCUGGGCCUCCUCCAGCAUGGAAACAAAGGAAAAUCUUGAUUUCCUUCAAGGGAAAUUCCAGGUACCUAGCUGGCCUUGAGAAGUAAAUGAGCCACCUGAUAAGCAAGAAGGGAAUAAUAGCUUCAAGUAACAGCCACUCAAUUCCAUGAUGGAAAAUCUAAUGGCCACUUUCCAUUUACCACGUCAAAGGAACAGUCCAGGCUUCCCUUCAUUUCCACAAUGACCCCAACUGUUUUGCCACUCGCUCCUUGAAGAACAUCUGGAUUUGUUUCUGGCUUUUGGCUAUGAGGAAUAAGCCUGCUGAGAACAUUCAGCUCUAGGAUUUUGUGUGAAUGGACUGAAUUUACAGCUUACCAAGCCAGGCCAUUGCACUUUUGGACAACUCUACUAAAUGGAUUUUCCUCAUGCCAUCGCAUAACUGCUACCUGCCACCAGAGCCUUAGAAAUACAUGGCUUUCCAUCAAGCACUCAUGGAACAUGUCACUGUGGGCACUUCUAGGGGGGAUUCAUGAUGGAUCCUCCAAGAUCAACUAAAUAUAAAACAAACUCCCAGGUAACAGAACCAUUUCAGCUAUUAAAUAAAAUCAUCUG